GAUGAACGCUGGCGGCGUGCCUAAUACAUGCAAGUCGAGCGAAUGGAUUAAGAGCUUGCUCUUAUGAAGUUAGCGGCGGACGGGUGAGUAACACGUGGGUAACCUGCCCAUAAGACUGGGAUGACUCCGGGAAACCGGGGCUAAUACCGGAUAACAUUUUGAACCGCAUGGUUCGAAAUUGAAAGGCGGCUUCGGCUGUCACUUAUGGAUGGACCCGCGUCGCAUUAGCUAGUUGGUGAGGUAACGGCUCACCAAGGCAACGAUGCGUAGCCGACCUGAGAGGGUGGUCGGCCACACUGGGACUGAGACACGGCCCAGACUCCUACGGGAGGCAGCAGUAGGGAAUCUUCCGCAAUGGACGAAAGUCUGACGGAGCAACGCCGCGUGAGUGAUGAAGGCUUUCGGGUCGUAAAACUCUGUUGUUAGGGGAGAACAAGUGCUAGUUGAAUAAGCUGGCACCUUGACGGUACCUAACCAGAAAGCCACGGCUAACUACGUGCCAGCCGCCGCAGUAA
rnacentral:rRNA from 1 species